GGGGAUGAUUGGAUUAGACGUAAUCUAAAAUAAUCUUAUAAGUGCAUGUCGAGAAGGAAUACUCGUAAAACAUUCUUACAAAAAAGUGCAAAAGAUGAUACUUCAUAUACAAGUAUGUCUAUGGCUGCUUAAGUUAAAUUUUACUUAUCAGUUUAUUGUAUAUGUACUUUCAUAUAUCCCUAUAUGUGUAAUAUGAUUAUUUUAAUUUAAUUAUAUUUUUACAUAUGGUUAAUGUGGUAUAUCAUUAUGAUAUUUGCUUGUUUAUGCUAAAUGAUAUUAUAAAUUAUAAAUAAGCUAGUUUUUUUACAUUUUAUUGUUCAAUAGUAAAAAAAUUAAAUAAGUGAACAAAUUUUAUAAGAAUUUUGCUUAUUAAAUAACUUAUAAUUUUAUUAAAGAAAUAAGAUAAACAUGUAGAGCUAAAGAUAAAAAGAUUUCGGACGCGGGUUCAAAUCCCGCCAUCUCCAUAA
rnacentral:tmRNA from 1 species